GGAAGGGAAUUAAGAGCAAGAAGACCACGUCAGGCUGCUGCCUUGGCCAGUAGGAAACAAGAGUGUGUAAAGAAAGCUGCUGACUCCUUUAAGAGAGCUUUGCUUAUGAAGCUGAACUCAAAACUCACUGAGACACUAACAGAAACACCAAUUAUGCCAUGACAAGGUGACCACUGGUAACUCACUGAGGCACUAACAGAAACACCAAUUAUGCCAUGACAAGGUGACCACUGGUAACUCACUGAGACACUAACAGAAACACCAAUUAUGCCAUGACAAGGUGACCACUGGUAACUCACUGAGACACUAACAGAAACACCAAUUAUGCCAUGACAAGGUGACCACUGGUAACUCACUGAGACACUAACAGAAACACCAAUUAUGCCAUGACAAGGUGACCACUGGUAACUCACUGAGACACUAACAGAAACACCAAUUAUGCCAUGACAAGGUGACCACUGGUAACUCACUGAGACACUAACAGAAACACCAAUUAUGCCAUGACAAGGUGACCACUGGUAACUCACUGAGGCACUAACAGAAACACCAAUUAUGCCAUGACAAGGUGACCACUGGUAACUCACUGAGGCACUAACAGAAACACC